rnacentral:rRNA from 1 species
GUGAAACAGUUCCUGAAACCGUGUGCCUACAAGUAGUUAGAGCCCGUUAAUGGGUGAUAGCGUGCCUUUUGUAGAAUGAACCGGCGAGUUACGAUUUGUUGCAAGGUUAAGCGGAAAAAGCGGAGCCGUAGCGAAAGCGAGUCUGAAUAGGGCGCAUAAGUAACAGGUCGUAGACCCGAAACCAGGUGAUCUACCCAUGUCCAGGAUGAAGGUAAGGUAAUACUUACUGGAGGUCCGAACCCACGCACGUUGAAAAGUGCGGGGAUGAGGUGUGGGUAGCGGAGAAAUUCCAAUCGAACUUGGAGAUAGCUGGUUCUCUCCGAAAUAGCUUUAGGGCUAGCCUCGAGGUAAAGAGUCAUGGAGGUAGAGCACUGUUUGGACUAGGGGCCCUUCUCGGGUUACCGAAUUCAGAUAAACUCCGAAUGCC